rnacentral:tRNA from 1 species
UGGGUUGUAGCUCAGUGGUAGAGCGUUUGCCUUACACGCAUGAGGCUCUGGGUUCGAUCCUCAACACCACAU